UACGUAGGGGGCAAGCGUUGUCCGGAAUUAUUGGGCGUAAAGAGCUUGUAGGCGGUUUGUCGCGUCUGCCGUGAAAAUCCGAGGCUCAACCUCGGACUUGCGGUGGGUACGGGCAGACUAGAGUGUGGUAGGGGAGACUGGAAUUCCUGGUGUAGCGGUGAAAUGCGCAGAUAUCAGGAGGAACACCGAUGGCGAAGGCAGGUCUCUGGGCCACUACUGACGCUGAGAAGCGAAAGCGUGGGGAGCGAACAGG
rnacentral:rRNA from 1 species